UACGAAGGGGGCUAGCGUUGCUCGGAAUUACUGGGCGUAAAGCGCACGUAGGCGGCUCUUUAAGUCGGAGGUGAAAUCCUGGAGCUCAACUCCAGAACUGCCUUCGAUACUGAAGAGCUCGAGUCCGGGAGAGGUGAGUGGAACUGCGAGUGUAGAGGUGAAAUUCGUAGAUAUUCACAAGAACACCAGUGGCGAAGGCGGCUCACUGGCCCGGUACUCGACGCUGAGGUGCGGAAAGCGA
rnacentral:rRNA from 1 species